AUUUGCAUUGAUGUUUCUUCUUUUCCCCUUUAAUAUAAUUUUGGGGUAGUUUGUAGGCGUCUUCAAUAAAUUGCACCUUAGGUGCACAAAUUUUCCAUUUUCCCUUUAACAUGAUGACAGAAUUUUUAUUUCAUACAUUUCUGUGCAAGCUUAGGCUAUAAUACAGCAGUUUGUGGGUCUUUUGUGAAAUGUUGUUCACAAGUUUGGAGUAUUGAUAGCUGCCCAUUUUGAUAACCUAUUGUCAAUGAACAGAUUGUGGGGAAUUUUUUUUUUCUUUGUGCUUUUCACCCCAUUUCCCUUGAUUGUUUUUCGGAAACCUACUGGAUGGGAUUUACCCUAAAUGCAUGUGAACCCUUUUCUUUAGUUAUUUUUUCACUUUUCAAUCUCUUCUUGCUUUUUCUGUUGGGGUGGAGGAGUUGUUGAAGUUAGAUUUUGCAGUCUAGUAGCUUACAAGAUUAGCCCUAUAUACUGGUUUAUUGCUGAAUUGACUUUUUGUGGGAAUUUUCUCCAGAUGGACGGUAUGUUCUAAGUACAUAUAGGGAUUUCAAGAUUCGUGUUACUGUGUUCCCCAAAAAGCCUAUAGAUGGAGCCCAUGAGAUGCAGAGCUUUUGCCUUGGCCAUACAGAGUGAGUUUUUACAAUCCAGUUUUCCUUGAGUUGAUUUAUUCCAGACACUACUUAGUGUUGUUAAGCUUGAGGAUGGAAGAAAUCUUACAAAAAUAAAUGAUACUUAUGAAGUGAAUUGAUGGCAUUUUGUCCAGUUUCUGAAAUGCAUCAAACAUGAAGCAUAAUUAGAUUAAAAUUUACCAUGUGGGUUGCCCGGAUUACUUUAUAUCUGAAUAAUGUGAUUCUUGCUGGUAGUUUCCUUCAAGGGAGAGAACAUAUGCUGUAGCUCUUCUGGAGGACUAUCGCGGAUGGUGACUCGGGUCUUCAACUUGCUUGUUUUUAUUAUUCUUCUUUGUCCCCAGUGAAGGUCAUUUCGGGUUUCAACAAGGUCUCCGGAUUCUGUUGAGCUUGAGCCUACUGCAAUGGAAGAUAAUGCCAUACCUGGUGGAAUGGAACUGCCAAAGAAGUUAAAAGGAAGUGUUUCUGUUGAGGAGAAGGUGUUUUUGGCAGCUGCUGAAGCUGUAAAAACUGCAAUGUGCAUUUUGCUGGCCAAAAAGCAGUACUCUUCAGAGAAAAGCGAAUUUAGAAAGAGAACAAAAAAUGAUAGAAAAUUCAAACAAUAACAGGACUUUAUACCAACAAAACUCUUAUCAUUUAUCUAAAUUUUUGUAGGGAUCCAAAUUUCAAGCAUGCUAUUGUUCGGACAGGAAGUUCUGUAAUGUUAGUUGUGCCCAUUUGUUAGAAAAUGACGACUGUAACAUUGAACAAAUACUGGCAAGGUUAGAUGCCUGCUAUUUUGUUUUC